rnacentral:lncRNA from 1 species
CAUUGCGGGGAGGCUGUCGUCAGAGCCUGGCUGGCCCCGGCGGCUGGUCCAGCCCCGGGGGCCCAGUCACCGGGCGUCAUUGGCUCAGGCAUCAGGGCCCUCAUCACCCUCUCCCGCCUCGGUCGGGCGGGCGGCGGCGGCGGCGUCAGGGGGCGGAGCCGCCCGCGGCGCCCUUUGUCUGUGCAGGCGGGUGCUCAGCCUGAAAUUGUAUCUCUCAAGAUCUCUGCCGGGAGGCAGAUUCGAAUAUCGAAUAGUGACGUAUGUAUGUGUAGGAUUGAUGCCUUUAGCGAAAAACAACAACAACAGUGUAAUAGCCAACUUCAGGAACGUCCACAUCUCAACUGUACAUGAACAAGGCAAGAUCCUGAGAGUGGCUGCCCUGGGAAGCAGAAAUCACUCUCAUGGAUAUCCACGGGCUCCUGACCCUCUCAUGAGAGCAGGCACCUUUAAUACCUGGGACUGGCUGUUGCCUUUAAGGCACUGGAAAAUCAGCCUUCAGGGACUGACAGGGCUGCUGAAGCUGUUAGAACUGGUAUGUCUCCUGACUGUCGUGCCCGAAGAGAAUAAGGCUUUGGUGACAUUACAGCUGAAGGACUGCAAAGAGGUGCAGUCAUCCUCGUGGAGGACUGAAUCCAGGAAUGCCCUCUCAGAAUGCCAUACUUUCCCAAGAAGGAAUUACAGAGAAGGAAAUGAAUGUUGGAUCACAGACAGUCAUGUCUCAGGCAAGUUCAGUUUUGUUUGUUUUUUUUUAAUAAUUUUAUUUUUUGUUUUUUGGGGUUUUUUUUUUUUUUUGGCUGUGU